GAUGAACGCUGGCGGCGUGCCUAAUACAUGCAAGUCGAGCGAACAGACGAGGAGCUUGCUCCUUUGACGUUAGCGGCGGACGGGUGAGUAACACGUGGGUAACCUACAUAUAAGAAUGGGAUAACUUCGGGAAACCGGAGCUAAUACCGGAUACUAUUUCGAACCGCAUGGUUCGAUAGUGAAAGAUGGCUUUGCUAUCACUUAUAGAUGGACCUGCGCCGUAUUAGCUAGUUGGUAAGGUAACGGCUUACCAAGGCAACGAUACGUAGCCGACCUGAGAGGGUGAUCGGCCACACUGGAACUGAGACACGGUCCGGACUCCUACGGGAGGCAGCAGAAGGGAAUCUUCCGCAAUGGGCGGAAGCCUGACGGAACAACGCCGCGUGAGUGAUAAAGGUCUUCGGAUCGUAAAACUCUGUUAUUAGGGAAGAACAAACGUGUAAGUAACUGUGCACGUCUUGACGGUACCUAAUCAGAAAGCCACGGCUAACUACGUG
rnacentral:rRNA from 1 species